CUCAACCUCCUACAAAGAUGUG
rnacentral:piRNA from 1 species